ncrna:Thermotoga lettingae TMO HNH endonuclease-associated RNA and ORF (HEARO) RNA
GUCAACUACCCACUGCCUAUAGAGGCGGGGGCUUGAAAAGCUUAGUUGAUUACCCUCAGCCACACAAGUGGCUACGUUAGACAGUUACACCCCGGGAUGCUGCUCAAGUUCCAGGCUCUGUCGUGCAGGUCUAAACAGUCCUGAGAGGUAGGGACAGUGACAGACAUAACAAGCCUGUCUAACAUUGGGGAUGAGCACAUUAC